CAGUGCAUAUAAUUGCCAGUCAAAUGAAAGAGGGCUUUCAGGUAAAUAGAAAAAACACUGAACCAUGUUGCCCAAUGACCAUAUCCUUCAACCUGACCUGAACAUGUAACAUUAAAACAAAAAUGAGGACUGUGGAGCGGUGAGGACUGCGGAGCGGUGAGGACUGUGGAGCGGCGAGGACUGUGGAGCGGUGAGGACUGCGGAGCGGUGAGGACUGUGGAGUGGCGAGGACUGUGGAGUGGCGAGGACUGUGGAGCGGCGAGGACUGUGGAACGGUGAGGACUGUGGAACGGUGAGGACUGUGGAGCGGUGAGGACUGUGGAGCGAUGAGGACUGCGGAGCGAUGAGGACUGCGGAGUGGCGAGGACUGUGGAGUGGCGAGGACUGUGGAGCGGCGAGGACUGUGGAGCGAUGAGGACUGUGGAGCGGUGAGGACUGUGGAGCGAUGAGGACUGUGGAGCGGUGAGGACUGUGGAGCGAUGAGGACUGUGGAGCGGCGAGGACUGUGGAGAGGCGAGGACUGUGGAGAGGUGAGGACUGUGGAACGGUGAGGACUGUGGAACGGUGAGGACUGUGGAGCGGUGAGGACUGUGGAGCGGUGAGGACUGUGGAGCGGUGAGGACUGUGGAGCGGUGAGGACUGUGGAGCGGUGAGGACUGUGGAGCGGUGAGGACCUUGGAGCGAUGAGGACUGUGGAGCGGUGAGGACUGUGGAGCGAUGAGGACUGUGGAAGGAGACAAAGCUUUUGAUGACACACAACAGGGAGGUUAGUAGCUUUCCACCUCUCCUGGCAGACCGUUAACUGACAAGCUUCUAGCAUUUGGCAAGAUGUUAUCCCACAGCCCAACUCAUCUCCAGCCCUGACAGCCCAACGCACCUGCCAAAGGAACUUCUUCAUACCUCCACUAUAUUGCUGUGAGUGAGGAGCGCUCAAAGCUAAGGUCUCCAUUUGUCUGUGUGCCGAGCAGACGCACUGUUGGAAUUCGAGGAAGAAAAUGCAUUUGAUCAAUGUCAUAUUAUCCUGGUUUAGUAAUCACAUAAUGGAAUUUGGCUAAACUUAUUGAGGAGAAUAGAGUCCUUAUGGAGUGUUGCCUCUCAAUUGCAAGGUGCUGGUAUUAGCCUUAAGAACUCGUAUGGCUCUCUGUCUCCGAAUGGAGUGAUGCAAUUGGACACAGCUGAAGUGGUAGAUGAGAAGAAUUUAAUUUGCUCUCCUUUCUACCUCGCUGCCUACAGACGUGAGGCCUUUUCUCUAAUGCAGCCAUGACCAUGAUAGAUAAGCCUGCAUAAGUCUACAAAGCCCACUUCAAUGCAAGUGAGAUUAGUACAUGGUCUCCCUCUGUGGACCCCCUCGGCACUAAGGCUGACCCUGGCCUUGGUGACAGGACAGCUAGCCACGCCGGCCUCGGGGAAAGCAAGUCACUUCAACACGCUAGCAUGUUCCAUAAUUAGCCAUAAUGGCGUCUGACUACAGGGCAGGUUGAUGAAACGUUGCCUAGAUGAAGGAACUAGGGGCUUAUGGGUAGAGAAAACAGCAGGGCUCUGCUAAGAGCCCGAUGAUAGCAAUUUGCAGAGUGAGUUAUUUCCCAUAACCUCGACGCAGCGAGUACUUUGAGCGUGUUGUGUUCUUAAAUAGGGUAUAGUGUUCCAUUUCACAACCAUUAAUAUGCAUGGAACAGCUAAUGAGGCUGAACCAACUAAGAUAAUAAGAUUCUGGUGCUGCAGCACCACACGCACAGCAUUAAUACUGUGUGACUUUGUGUUGAGGCAUUUGUCUCCAGAUGCCGUUGGACACGGGCAAAAAUGGGACUCGAAAGAAAUCUGUUCAUUGGAACAUGGAUACAGUCAUUUUGAUAUGCAUUUUACAGUAAUUGCACCAUUAAAAUGCUUGAGGAAAGACGUAUUUUAUCCACUGAGCACUAGUUUAGGUUUUUCUGGGUUUUUUUUUACGAUACAUAAUUAGUUAGUCUUUUUAUGUUUUCAUUUGUGCUCUACACUCAUAAUUGUGUACAGUCAAAUAGGAUACUGAAAUAACCGAUUUAUUGUAGUGUUUUACUAUUCAUUUGGUAUUUUAUGUAUAUGAAGACUAAUCACAAGUGGCUGAUCUAUCAAAAACAGUUCCGAGAUGCAUACAUGGGUUUGUGUUUUUUGUCUUCCUCUUGAGGAGAGACAAUCGGAGUAAACCCUCAACGUCUUAAUCUGGCCAACUCUACCUAAAGUAUCGGCGAUGCUAAAGCUCUAAUGGAUUCUUAUGAACUCAUUGUUACGUGUGUUUUAAUUGCAAAGCGCGUUCGGGUUUGCAUUUGUUACCGAAGGACACGAACGAAGUGAGCAGGGUCCACAGGCAUAUGUAAAAGAAAAGCAUCGUUGAUUCCUCACGUUUCAUCUCUCGUCGAAGUAGAACAAGUGGGGAGUGAGGUUUUAGAGGUCGCGCACCGAAGGACUGUCAAGUUGUUUGGAUGUUAUUAAACGUUACUAUAAAUAUAA